UACGAAGGGGGCUAGCGUUGCUCGGAAUUACUGGGCGUAAAGCGCACGUAGGCGGCUUCUUAAGUCGGUGGUGAAAUCCUGGAGCUCAACUCCAGAACUGCCUUCGAUACUGGGAGCUCGAGUCCGGGAGAGGUGAGUGGAACUGCGAGUGUAGAGGUGAAAUUCGUAGAUAUUCGCAAGAACACCAGUGGCGAAGGCGGCUCACUGGCCCGGUACUCGACGCUGAGGUGCGAAAGCGUGGGGAGCAACAGGG
rnacentral:rRNA from 1 species